CGCCUUGCCAGCCCGCUCAGAAACUUAAAGGAAUUGACGGGGCCCGCACAGGCGGUGGAGUAUGUGGUUUAAUCGAUGCAACGCGAAGAACCUUACCUGGUCUUGACAUCCCGGAGACCCUUAGGAAACUAGGGGGUGCUUCCAUCUGGAAGAAUCUGGAGACAGGUGCUGCAUGGCUGUCGUCAGCUCGUGUCGUGAGAUGUUGGGUUAAGUCCCGCAACGAGCGCAACCCUUGCCUUUAGUUGCCAGCAGUUCGGCUGGGCACUCUAAAGGGACUGCCGGUGUUAAACCGGAGGAAGGUGGGGAUGACGUCAAGUCCUCAUGGCCUUUAUGACCAGGGCUACACACGUACUACAAUGGCCGAUACAAAGGGCAGCGACACUGCGAGGUGAAGCCAAUCCCGUAAAAUCGGUCUCAGUCCGGAUUGGAGUCUGCAACUCGACUCCAUGAAGUUGGAAUCGCUAGUAAUCGUGGAUCAGCAUGCCACGGUGAAUACGUUCCCGGGCCUU
rnacentral:rRNA from 1 species